rnacentral:tRNA from 1 species
GUCGCGGUGGCCGAGGCGGACGGGCCGGCGGCCGGGUUGGCGCUGGUGGAGGCGGUGGCCGAGUCGCUGCGCGGGUACCACCUGCUGCCCGCGACCC